rnacentral:rRNA from 1 species
UACGUAGGGUGCAAGCGUUAAUCGGAAUUACUGGGCGUAAAGCGUGCGCAGGCGGUUUUGUAAGUCUGUCGUGAAAUCCCCGGGCUUAACCUGGGAAUGGCGAUGGAGACUGCAAGGCUAGAGUUUGGCAGAGGGGGGUAGAAUUCCACGUGUAGCAGUGAAAUGCGUAGAUAUCUGGAGGAACACCGGUGGCGAAGGCGGCAUCCUGGACCAACACUGACGCUGAGGAGCGAAAGCCAGGGGAGCAAACGGG